rnacentral:rRNA from 1 species
CCCAGACUCCUACGGGAGGCAGCAGUGGGGAAUAUUGCACAAUGGGGGAAACCCUGAUGCAGCAACGCCGCGUGAGUGAAGAAGUCAUUCGUGAUGUAAAGCUCUAUCAGCAGGGAAGAAAAUGACGGUACCUGAGUAAGAAGCCCCGGCUAACUACGUGCCAGCAGCCGCGGUAAUACGUGGGGGGCAAGCGUUAUCCGGAUUUACUGGGUGUAAAGGGAGCGUAGACGGCCAGACAAGUCUGAAGUGAAAAUCCAGCGCUUAACGCUGGAAGUGCUUUGGAAACUGCCGGGCUGGAGUGCAGGAGGGGCAGGCGGAAUUCCUAGUGUAGCGGUGAAAUGCGUAGAUAUCAGGAGGAACACCGGCGGUGAAGGCGGCCUGCUGGACCGUGACCGACGUUGAGGCUCGAGAGCGUGGGGAGCAAACAGGAUUAGAUACCCUCGUACA